AGUGAACGCUGGCGGUAGGCCUAACGCAUGCAAGUCGAACGGCAGCACAGUAAGAGCUUGCUCUUACGGGUGGCGAGUGGCGGACGGGUGAGGAAUACAUCGGAAUCUACUUUUUCGUGGGGGAUAACGUAGGGAAACUUACGCUAAUACCGCAUACGACCUACGGGUGAAAGCAGGGGAUCUUCGGACCUUGCGCGAUUGAAUGAGCCGAUGUCGGAUUAGCUAGUUGGCGGGGUAAAGGCCCACCAAGGCGACGAUCCGUAGCUGGUCUGAGAGGAUGAUCAGCCACAAUGGAACUGAGACACGGUCCAGACUCCUACGGGAGGCAGCAGUGGGGAAUAUUGGACAAUGGGCGCAAGCCUGAUCCAGCCAUACCGCGUGGGUGAAGAAGGCCUUCGGGUUGUAAAGCCCUUUUGUUGGGAAAGAAAAGCAGCAGGUUAAUACCCCGCUGUUCUGACGGUACCCAAAGAAUAAGCACCGGCUAACUUCG
rnacentral:rRNA from 1 species